GGGAUAACAGUUGGAAACGGCUGCUAAUACCGCAUAAGCGCACAGCAUCGCAUGAUGCAGUGUGAAAAACUCCGGUGGUAUAAGAUGGACCCGCGUUGGAUUAGCUAGUUGGUGAGGUAACGGCCCACCAAGGCGACGAUCCAUAGCCGACCUGAGAGGGUGACCGGCCACAUUGGGACUGAGACACGGCCCAAACUCCUACGGGAGGCAGCAGUGGGGAAUAUUGCACAAUGGGCGAAAGCCUGAUGCAGCGACGCCGCGUGAGCGAAGAAGUAUUUCGGUAUGUAAAGCUCUAUCAGCAGGGAAGAUAAUGACGGUACCUGACUAAGAAGCACCGGCUAAAUACGUGCCAGCAGCCGCGGUAAUACGUAUGGUGCAAGCGUUAUCCGGAUUUACUGGGUGUAAAGGGAGCGCAGGCGGUGCGGCAAGUCUGAUGUGAAAGCCCGGGGCUCAACCCCGGUACUGCAUUGGAAACUGUCGUACUAGAGUGUCGGAGGGGUAAGCGGAAUUCCUAGUGUAGCGGUGAAAUGCGUAGAUAUUAGGAGGAACACCAGUGGCGAAGGCGGCUUACUGGACGAUAACUGACGCUGAGGCUCGAAAGCGUGGGGAGCAAACAGGAUUAGAUACCCUGGUAGUCCACGCCGUAA
rnacentral:rRNA from 1 species